AUGGAUGCUACUGCAAGUAAAGGUCAUGCAAUAGUGGAGAUUUACAAUGUUCUUGAUUGCAACUGUUCCUUCAGAGUUGGCACUGCAAAACUCCAGCACAGGUUUCAGCAACUACAGCAUCUGGUCCACCCAGAUUUCUUCAGCCAGAGAUCUCAGACUGAAAAGGACUUCUCAGAGAAGCAUUCAAUCCUGGUGAACGAUGCCUAUAACACCCUUCUGGCCACCCUGAGCAGGGGACUAUAUUGUAAGCUAAAGCUUCAUGGGAUAGAGAUUCCUGAAGGGACAGAUUAUGAAAUGGAUAGUCAAUUCCUCAUGAAAAUAAUGGAAAUCAAUGAAAAACUUGCAGAAGCUCAAAGUGAAGCUGCCGUGAAAGAAAUUGAAUCCACUGUACAAGCUAAACAAGAAAGAAUGUACUGACAACGCGAGCAGAGCUUUUGAACAAGGUGACUUUGAAAAAGCCAAGGAAAUUUUAACAAAGAUGAAAUACUUUUCAAAUGUAGAAGAAAAGAUCAAGUUAAAGAUGACUCCCUCUAGUUAA